GAAGUUGUUUGUCGUCUGCUCUGAAAAUAACCACAGCAGGAAUUGGGCUGUAUUUUUAGGACACAGGAUGGACCAUGGACAUGCCUUGUGCCUUCUGGUAUGGGAUUGUUGGCUUCCUAUUGCUCUACAAAGCUUUGUGAGUCAUUCCUUCUCACUAGAGAAACUCCCUCCUGGGCACACAGAAGAUUGGGCGACCUGGAAGGCACUCCAACAGGUUGCGUUCUGGCACCACGAGAUGCAGAGCUAACCUUGAGAAAUGGGGCUACAAUUAGUAGAAAACAGAAAGAAGUGGAAUAAUUGGUCCUUAGGAGAAAGAUGGUGCAGCCGUAUCCAAGACUAUCCAGGAAUUGAUUAUUCAAUUGCAAUUUGAAUUGAAGUUCAAUAUUGUGAUGUAAAACAACUGAAAAUGUUGAUCCCUUGUGGAGAAAU